UACGUAGGGGGCAAGCGUUGUUCGGAAUUACUGGGCGUAAAGCGCGCGUAGGCGGUUUGGAAAGUCAGAUGUGAAAGCCCCGGGCUCAACUUGGGAACUGCAUUUGAUACUGCCAGACGUAGAGUACAGAAGAGGUGACUGGAAUUCCCAGUGUACGGUGAAAUGCGUAGAUAUUGGGAGGAACACCAGAUGCGAAGGCGGGUCACUGGGCUGAUACUGACGCUGAUGCGGCGAAAGCCAGGGAGCGAACGGG
rnacentral:rRNA from 1 species